GAUGGUAGGUAUGGAGAGCGAUGAAGAGAUCAGAAGAGUCCCAGAGAUCGGCGGCGAACCCGCGGGAACGUCAGCUUCCGGAAGAGAACUCGUGUCGACGGGCGGUCCUGACCGAGUACAGCAGUUAGGAGAAGGUCAGAGGAAGAGAGGCAGAAGCCCAGCUGACAAAGAAAACAAGAGAUUGAAGAGGUAAAAAUUAAAUUAAAAAUAAAAAGUUGAUGUCAACUUCACCGUUUUGCCCUUCCAAGAUUUUACCAAUGCUGUGGCAUUUCGAUUUGGAUUUGUGCACGACGCAGGUUGUUGAGGAACAGAGUGUCAGCUCAGCAAGCAAGAGAGAGGAAAAAGGCGUACUUGAAUGAGUUGG
rnacentral:lncRNA from 1 species